rnacentral:tRNA from 1 species
GCCGUUGUGGUGUAGUGGUCAGCACGCUCGACGCGUAACCGAGAGGUCCGUGGUUCGAUUUCCGGCAAAGGCG